AUUGAACGCUGGCGGCAGGCCUAAGACAUGCAAGUCGAGCGAGAAGACCCUUCGGGGUGAGUACAGCGGCGACGGGUGAGUAACGCGUAGGAAUCUACCCAGUAGUCGGGGGACAACUAGUGGAAACGCUAGCUAAUACCGCAUACGCCCUAACGGGGGAAAGCGGGGGGAUCUUCGGACCUCGUGCUAUUGGAUGAGCCUGCGUAAGAUUAGCUUGUUGGUGAGGUAAUGGCUCACCAAGGCGACGAUCUUUAGCUGGUCUGAGAGGAUGAUCAGCCACACCGGGACUGAGACACGGCCCGGACUCCUACGGGAGGCAGCAGUCGGGAAUAUUGCGCAAUGGGGGAAACCUUGACGCAGCCAUGCCGCGUGUGUGAAGAAGGCCUUAGGGUUGUAAAGCACUUUCAAUUGGGAGGAAAAGCUAAUGGUUAAUAACCAUUAGCCCUGACGUUACCUUUAGAAGAAGCACCGGCUAACUCCGUG
rnacentral:rRNA from 1 species